UACGGGGGGGGCAAGCGUUGUUCGGAAUUACUGGGCGUAAAGGGCUCGUAGGUGGCCAACUAAGUCGGACGUGAAAUCCCUCGGCUUAACUGGGGAACUGCGUCUGAUACUGGAUGGCUUGGAUUUGGGAGAGGGAUGCGGAAUUCCAGGUGUAGCGGUGAAAUGCGUAGAUAUCUGGAGGAACACCGGUGGCGAAGGCGGCAUCCUGGACCAACAUUGACGCUGAGGAGCGAAAGCGAGGGGAGCAAACGGG
rnacentral:rRNA from 1 species